rfam:Prunus persica cultivar Lovell chromosome G1, whole genome shotgun sequence.
GUUGCAGAGGCAAUUUGGCAUUCUGUCCACCUCCAUAUUCACUAGUACACAUAGAAGAAGUUUCUUUCUUUUAUUUUACAAGCUCUGGAGGUGGUCAGCAUGUCAAACUGGCUCUGUAAA